CCAGCACAAUGACCCCUAUUCGUAGUC
rnacentral:piRNA from 1 species